UUUCUGUAUUUCUGUAUUUCUGUAUUCAUCGGGACCUAUAUGUUCUGGAUCAGUUUACUGACUGUAUCAUAAAGCUCCUAAAAUUACAAAAUGCCGGCUUCAAGAAUUCUGUAAGUUUUUACAGACCAAUCAUAUGGUCUAUGUCAUGUGUCAAGAUUGAAUGCGUGAACGUUCUUCAUGUUAAAAAGUAUAGUGAAACAAGAUAAAAAUUUGUCAAAGUUUAGAUGGAAUUCUUAUAGUCACACUUAAAUUGACUACCAGGAGACAUGGAAUCACUGUCGUCAUAUUUAAGUUAUACGGAUAGCUUUAACAAACAGGUUCAUGUUUUUUUUUAAACGUAUCUUCUAUUAAUCACAUUUGUCGUAGGGCACAUGGUACACAUGCGGUUACUAUAGGCUCACCAAAGUGAUCAAUGUUUUAUGAAGUAUUGGUCUUGAUUUUUAUUACGUACCUAAUGUUACUGUGUCUAUGAAAUAUCUGUCUUGCUACCUGGCUGUAAAAUAAUCAAAUGCCCACCCCCCCCAACAAAAAAAAGUGAAAAGUGGAAGCAGGUCUGGGCCCUGUCUUACAAAGAGUUACGAUUGAUCCGAUAAAUCGCAACUAUGGACGGCAGCAACGUCAACAUGUAUUACCCCUGGUUGUUCAAAAUAUGAUCUAUGAUUUAUAUUCAUGCAUUCAUUGUUUUCUUGAACAUUCACUGUGCGUCUCUUUAUUUACAAAGGACAUUGUGCAAAUUUCCUGUAAAAUAUAUAUAUGAUACUGAUGGAUUUCCAUAGAGUUAUGAUUGAUUGGAUCAAUCGCAACUCUGUGUAAGAUGGGGCCUGAUAUAUUUACUUGUAAAAUGAAAACGCCUUGCAUGUUAGUGAAAAGUGGUAGCAGGUUUGGUAUUCUUGCUUGUAAUCUGAAAACGCCAUGCAUGUUUAGUGGAAAAUGGUAGCAGGUCUGAUGUUCUUGUAAACUGAAAACGCCAUGCAUGUUUAGUGGAAAAUGGUAUAGCAGGUCUGAUAUUCUUGUAAACUGAAAACGCCAUGCACGUUUAGUGGAAAGUGGUAGAAGGUCUGAUAUCUUACUUGUAAACUGAAAACACCAUGCAUGUUUAGUGGAAAGUGGUAGCAGGUCUGAUAUUCUUACUUGUAAACUGAAAACGCCAUGCAUGUUUAGUGGAAAGUGGUAGCAGGUCUGAUAUUUUUACUUGUAAACUGAAAACACCAUGCAUGUUUAGUGGAAAAUGGUAGCAGGUCUGAUAUUUUUACUUGUAAACUGAAAACACCAUGCAUGUUUAGUGGAAAAUGGUAGCAGUCUGAUAUUCUUACUUGUAAACUGAAAACGCCAUGCAUGUUAGUGAAAAGUGGUAGCAGGUUUGAUAAUCUUACUUGUAAACUGAAAACGCCGAGCAUGUUUAUUGAAAAAUGGUAUAGCAGGUCUUAUAUUCUUGUAAACUGAAAACGCCAUGCAUGUUUAGUGGAAAGCGGUAGAAGGUCUGAUAUCUUACUUGUAAACUGAAAACACCAUGCAUGUUUAGUGGAAAGUGGCAGCAGGUCUGAUAUUCUUACUUGUAAACUGAAAACGCCUUGCAUGUUUAGUGGAAAGUGGUAGCAGGUCUGAUAUUCUUACUUGUAAACUGAAAACGCCAUGCAUGUUUAGUGGAAAGUGGUAGCAGGUCUGAUAUUUUUACUUGUAAACUGAAAACACCAUGCAUGAUUAGUGGAAAAUGGUAGCAGUCUGAUAUUCUUACUUGUAAACUGAAAACGCCAUGCAGGUUAGUGAAAAGUGGUAGCAGGUUUGAUAAUCUUACUUGUAAACUGAAAACGCCAUGCAUGUUUAGUGGAAAAUGGUAUAGCAGGUCUUAUAUUCUUGUAAACUGAAAACGCCAUGCAUGUUUAGUGGAAAAUGGUAGAAGGUCUGAUAUCUUACUUGUAAACUGAAAACACCAUGCAUGUUUAGUGGAAAGUGGUAGAAGGUCUGAUAUUCUUACUUGUAAACUGAGAACACCAUGCAUGUUUAGUAGAAAGUGGUAGCAGGUCUGAUAUUGUUACUUAUAAACUGAAAACUCCAUCUUUAGUGGAAAGUGGUAGCAGGUCUGAUAUUUUUACUUGUGAACUGAAAACGCCAUCUUUAGUAAAAAGUGGUAGCAGGUUUGAUAUUCUUACUUGUAAAAUGAAAACACCAUGCAUGUUUAGUGGAAAGUGGUAGCAGGUCUGAUAUUGGUACUUGUAAACUGAAAACGCCAUCUUUAGUGGAAAGUGGUAGCAGGUCUGAUAUUCUUACUAUUGAACUGAAAACGCCAUCUUUAGUAAAACGUGGUAGCAGGUUUGAUAUUCUUACUUGUAAACUGAAAAGGCCAUCUUUAGUAAAAAGUGGUAGCAGGUCUAAUAUUCUUACUUGUAAACUGAAAAUGCCAUGCAUGUUUAGUGGAAAGUGGUAGCAGGUCUGAUAUUCUUACUUGUAAACUGAAAUCGCAUUGCAUGUUUAGUGGAAAGUGGUAGCGCGUAAAUGAUUUGUUAAUUCAUGAGGAAAAAAUAAAAAUAAGUCAACUACA